rnacentral:tRNA from 1 species
GCUUUUGGUUCAGUGGUAGAAUGCUCGCCUGCCACACAGGCGCCCCGGGUACGAUUCCCGACCGAUGCA